GAUGAACGCUGGCGGCGUGCCUAAUACAUGCAAGUCGAGCGAACGGACGAUAAGCUUGCUUUUCUGAUGUUAGCGGCGGACGGGUGAGUAACACGUGGAUAACCUACCUAUAUGACGUGGAUAACUUCGGGAAACCGGUUCUAAUACCGGAUAAUAUUUUGAACCGCAUGGUUCAAAAGUGAAAGACGGUCUUGCUGUCACUUAUAGAUGGUUCCGCGCUGCAUUAGCUAGUUGGUAAGGUAACGGCUUACCAAGGCAACGAUGCAUAGCCGACCUGAGAGGGUGAUCGGCCACACUGGAACUGAGACACGGUCCAGACUCCUACGGGAGGCAGCAGUAGGGAAUAUUGCGCAAUGGGCGAAAGCCUGACGGAGCAACGCCGCGUGAGUGAUGAAGGUCUUCGGAUCGUAAAACUCUGUUAUUAGGGAAGAAAAUCUGUGGAAGUAACUGUGCACAUCUUGACGGUACCUAAUCAGAAAGCAACGGCUAACUACGUG
rnacentral:rRNA from 1 species